GCGAACCGGGGGAACUGAAACAUCUAAGUACCCCGAGGAAAAGAAAUCAACCGAGAUUCCCCCAGUAGCGGCGAGCGAACGGGGAGCAGCCCAGAGCCUGAAUCAGUAUGUGUGUUAGUGGAAGCGUCUGGAAAGGCGCGCGAUACAGGGUGACAGCCCCGUACACAAAAAUGCACAUGCUGUGAGCUCGAUGAGUAGGGCGGGACACGUGGUAUCCUGUCUGAAUAUGGGGGGACCAUCCUCCAAGGCUAAAUACUCCUGACUGACCGAUAGUGAACCAGUACCGUGAGGGAAAGGCGAAAAGAACCCCGGCGAGGGGAGUGAAAAAGAACCUGAAACCGUGUACGUACAAGCAGUGGGAGCACGCUUAGGCGUGUGACUGCGUACCUUUUGUAUAAUGGGUCAGCGACUUAUAUUCUGUAGCAAGGUUAACCGAAUAGGGGAGCCGAAGGGAAACCGAGUCUUAACUGGGCGUUAAGUUGCAGGGUAUAGACCCGAAACCCGGUGAUCUAGCCAUGGGCAGGUUGAAGGUUGGGUAACACUAACUGGAGGACCGAACCGACUAAUGUUGAAAAAUUAGCGGAUGACUUGUGGCUGGGGGUGAAAGGCCAAUCAAACCGGGAGAUAGCUGGUUCUCCCCGAAAGCUAUUUAGGUAGCGCCUCGUGAAUUCAUCUCCGGGGGUAGAGCACUGUUUCGGCAAGGGGGUCAUCCCGACUUACCAACCCGAUGCAAACUGCGAAUACCGGAGAAUGUUAUCACGGGAGACACACGGCGGGUGCUAACGUCCGUCGUGAAGAGGGAAACAACCCAGACCGCCAGCUAAGGUCCCAAAGUCAUGGUUAAGUGGGAAACGAUGUGGGAAGGCCCAGACAGCCAGGAUGUUGGCUUAGAAGCAGCCAUCAUUUAAAGAAAGCGUAAUAGCUCACUGGUCGAGUCGGCCUGCGCGGAAGAUGUAACGGGGCUAAACCAUGCACCGAAGCUGCGGCAGCGACACUAUGUGUUGUUGGGUAGGGGAGCGUUCUGUAAGCCUGUGAAGGUGUACUGUGAGGUAUGCUGGAGGUAUCAGAAGUGCGAAUGCUGACAUAAGUAACGAUAAAGCGGGUGAAAAGCCCGCUCGCCGGAAGACCAAGGGUUCCUGUCCAACGUUAAUCGGGGCAGGGUGAGUCGACCCCUAAGGCGAGGCCGAAAGGCGUAGUCGAUGGGAAACAGGUUAAUAUUCCUGUACUUGGUGUUACUGCGAAGGGGGGACGGAGAAGGCUAUGUUGGCCGGGCGACGGUUGUCCCGGUUUAAGCGUGUAGGCUGGUUUUCCAGGCAAAUCCGGAAAAUCAAGGCUGAGGCGUGAUGACGAGGCACUACGGUGCUGAAGCAACAAAUGCCCUGCUUCCAGGAAAAGCCUCUAAGCAUCAGGUAACAUCAAAUCGUACCCCAAACCGACACAGGUGGUCAGGUAGAGAAUACCAAGGCGCUUGAGAGAACUCGGGUGAAGGAACUAGGCAAAAUGGUGCCGUAACUUCGGGAGAAGGCACGCUGAUAUGUAGGUGAAGUCCCUCGCGGAUGGAGCUGAAAUCAGUCGAAGAUACCAGCUGGCUGCAACUGUUUAUUAAAAACACAGCACUGUGCAAACACGAAAGUGGACGUAUACGGUGUGACGCCUGCCCGGUGC
rnacentral:rRNA from 1 species